UGGCUGUCGUCAGCUCGUGCCGUGAGGUGUUGGGUUAAGUCCCGUAACGAGCGAAACCCCUGCGACCAGUUGCCAGCACGUAACGGUGGGGACUCUGGUCGGACCGCCGGCGUUAAGCCGGAGGAAGGCGGGGACGACGUCAAGUCAUCAUGGCCCUUAUGCCCGGGGCUGCACACGUGCUACAAUGGGCCGGACAGAGCGUCGCCACUGCGCGAGCAGGAGCCAAUCGCCGAAACCGGCCCUCAGUUCGGAUUGCGGGCUGCAACCCGCCCGCAUGAAGCUGGAAUCGCUAGUAAUCGCGGAUCAGCAGUGCCGCGGUGAAUGGGUUCCUGAGCCUUGUACACACCGCCCG
rnacentral:rRNA from 1 species